ensembl:lncRNA
UAGGUUAACAGACCCCUGAUCACUAUAGGACUAGGUUAACAGACCCCUGAUCACUAUAGGACUAGGUUAACAGACCCCUGAUCACUAUAGGACUAGGUUAACAGACCCCUGAUCACUAUAGGACUAGGUUAACAGACCCCAGACUAGUAUCAUUAUAGGACUAGGUUAACAGACCCCAGACUACUGUCACUAUAGGACUAGGUUAACAGACCCCUGAUCACUGUAGGACUAGGUUAACAGAUCCCUGACUACUGUCAUUAUAGGACUAGGCCCUCCUUGAUUUCCCUUGGGCCCCUGGGACCAGUGGAGCCUCACUACAGUGUAGUGUAGUCAUACUAUGGCCCAUGCUGAGAGAACAGGACAUUGCUGUCCUCCAGCAGUCGCUACCAGAGUGUAACGGGUUAGACAGGCCGGAAUGGGUUUACACAGCUGGACCUGAACCAUUUCUGUCCGAUCCAUAUGAACACCAUACCUGAGGAACGCCAUACACCAUACCGGAGGAACACCAUACCUGAGGAACGCCAUACACCAUACCGGAGGAACGCCAUGUAAGCUCACACACACUAGGUUACAGAUGGUGUGUAGCUUGUUUAAGGUUUAUGAGCUGUGUAUAUGUGCAUGUUAGAGUGUGUGUGAGUCUACUUGCUCC